UAUUAAUUUACAAAUUACAAUUUAUACAUCCUAAUUUUUGUAACGAUUUGAGUUUUAUUUCAAAGAAAAUAUAUUUAUUAAAUAAAACAAAUUACCCAUACACUCAGGUCAAAAUCGAUCGAAGGUUUAUAAUUGGAAGUUAGAUUUGUAUUUACUGUUCUGUUCACAUUUUGAAGUUGAAUGAAGAGUGACUGAAAUCUGAAUUUAUGCUUAGCCUGGAUCAGAGUCUGUACCAAUGGUGUGUAAUAUAGGUAAGCUUUGUAUUUUUCUGUUCAAAGCACUCGUAAUAGUCCCACUUGAGAGAACAUUUUAGCUUGAGAAAAAAAUAGAUAAAUCCAGAAAACAAUUUGGCUCAAGAAGGGUGUGGACAAGUAACUUCCAGGUUUGUGAAGGAAGACUGGAAGAUGAGUAAAAAAGAAAAGUGAAUGUGCCACACGACUGAAAUGUUAUUGGAGUUUGUAUGGUUACUUUAAAUUAUUUUAAUUCAACAGUUGUGUACUACCACAUAAUAUUUUUGUUUUGUGAAUUAUUUCUUGUUACAGAUUAUAAGGUGCUGUUUAGUAAUAUUUUUGUAUUCUAUAUAAUUAUACUUUUGAUCAAUAGUUUUAAUUCUUGUAGUGGUUUAUCUGAAAUGAACAUUGACAACGGUAGUCAAUGUGAGGUCAUUAGCAAAAAUUUGAAAAAGCACUAGUUAAGGUUACAUAACUGUGUGUGUUAUAAUACAGAGUUAGCAAAUCAAAGUUGGGACCAAUCAAUUUAAAAUAAAUCGUUAGUUAUUAAUAAGUUGGUCUACUGUGUUGAAAUUAUGAUAUUGUCCAGUUGUAUGUUUAUCAACAAGUAUAAUUAUUGGAGAUUUGGUGAAGUUAUAAAUUAUGUAGAGUGAGUGCAACAGAAAGUCUUCUACUUUGGAAAUACAAUUAUUUUGAGUUCAACAACUUGUUUUAACUUCUAGAAAGACUGUAUUGUUGCCAGUCCAUAUAAUAAUAAAAAUCUGUUUUAUUUCUUCCUUAA